CGUCAAGUCAGCAUGGCCUUUAUGUCUGGGGCUACACACGUGCUACAAUGGCCGGUACAAACCGUCGCGAUCUCGCAAGAGGGAGCUAAUCGGAGAAAGCCGGUCUCAGUUCGGAUUGUCGGCUGCAACUCGCCGGCAUGAAGUUGGAAUCGCUAGUAAUCGCGGAUCAGCACGCCGCGGUGAAUACGUUCCCGGGCCUU
rnacentral:rRNA from 1 species